rnacentral:snRNA from 9 species
GGUCCUUCGGGAACAUCCGAUAAUAUUGGAAAGAUACAGGGAAGAUUGGCACCGCCACAUUUGGCACGGCCCCUGCAGAGUCCCUGGAGCCCUCUUUUGUUUUU